UGAACUUCUGUUUACGGUUAUUCUGCUGCAUGUACAGGCGAUGAGGCCCAUUCCAGUUCCCGUAGACGAUGUCGGUCUUGCCGUCACGGUUGAAAUCUGCCAGAGCGACCCCUCUGCCGUGCUGCAUGGGGUCCUCCACACCUACAGUCAUAUGCCUGCUGCGCCACAUCCGUGAACGUUCCAUCCCCGUUGUUCCUAAACAAGAAGUUGGGUCCGUACUCGUUGUCGCAGAAUACAUCGGACAGCGUUUGACUGACAAUGGGCCCCACCACGACGCCUCGUCCUCCUGCACAGACAGAAACACAGAUACAAGCCUCUGUGCCGAAAGUAUGAAUGGAACGGAAAUGGUGAAGGGAGAGAUGACCAGCAAAAAACAUCCGUGACGUGAU